UAAAAUAGGGAAAUUGAGAGAGUAUUGAAAAUUAAAGUGAGUGUAGAGAAUAAUUAUAUAGAGAAUUUAAUAUUAUAUUGAUGAAUUAGGAGUGAGGUGAGGUAUUUAUUGAGUUAUUUUUUAUUUAAAUCACUGGUUUGUUUUGGUUUGAAAUCAUUGGUUUAAUCCGGUUUUCAACUGCUAGUUCAUGAUUUCUAAAAAAUAUGAACCUAAAUCAAAUCGCAAAAGGGUGAUUUUG
rnacentral:misc_RNA from 1 species